CGUGUAGGCGGCCUUUUAAGUCUGAUGUGAAAGCCCGAGGCUCACCCUCGGAAGUGCAUUGGAUACUGGGAGGCUGGAGUACCGGAGAGGAGGGUGGAAUUCCUGGUGUAGCGGUGAAAUGCGUAGAUAUCAGGAGGAACACCAGUGGCGAAGGCGGCCCUCUGGACGGAUACUGACGCUGAGACGCGACAGCGUGGGGAGCAAACAGGAUUAGAUACCCUGGUAGUCC
rnacentral:rRNA from 1 species